UUAAAAAUAACUCAAAAAGACAUGUUUUUGUUAAACAGGCGGGUAAAAUUUUUGCCGAGUUCUUUAUACAAACUUAUCAUAUAAAAUUACAUAUACAAAAAAAUAUACUAAUUCUAUCAUUAUUCCUUUUUAUGUAUAAUUCAUAAAAAAAUUUUUAUAAAUAAAUUAAAAUAUAAUAAAUAAUAUAAUUUAUAAAAUAAUUUAUAACAAACUUUAUAAUGAUUGCUAAUUCUAAGCAUACAUUUUAUAUUACCACUAUUAAUUUUUAAUAAUUUAUUUUAAAGCUUAUCCCUUAAAAUAUUCAAAUAAAUAAAUUUUUCAAUUAAAUAAAUAACUAAAAAAUCAAAAAUUUGUAAAUUAAAUUUAUUUCUAAAAAAACUAGAUACCUUUAUAAACGAAUAACAUUUCGUUUCUAAUAGUUUAUUUAAAAUAAUUUUGACACAUUAACUUUAAUAAACUAUUAACUCUUAUAAAAUCGAGAUUAAUAAUAUAUAUAUUAAUUAUUUGAUAAACCCUGAUACACAAGGUACAAUAAAUUAAAUUUUCUUUUAACACAAAGAUUUUUCAAAAUAUUUCAAUUAUCUUUCACAAUACUAAUCCACUAUUAUUAAUAUUAUUUUUUCAUUAAAAAUUACUAAAACACUUAACUAUAUAAUUAUUUUUAAUAUAUUAAUUUAAAAGCAAAAUAAAAUAAUAAAUAAAUUUUG
rnacentral:rRNA from 1 species